rnacentral:tRNA from 1 species
GACUAUGCGGUGUAGUGGUUAGCACGCCUGUCCGGAAAACAGGAGGUAUUAGGUUCGAAUUCUUAUUGGGGUUG